rnacentral:rRNA from 1 species
AUGAAUUUCUUUGCACAAACUCCAAUCUCGGAGGAGCCACAAAGGACUAGAAUGAGGGCGUCAACAUCAUUGUGCACCCCUUCUGUGGUCCGAGGAACACACACUUUCAAGAUUGCUGGCUAUAGCCUUCAAAGGGGCCUCGGCAUUGGCAGGUACUUGUCGUCCGCUGCCUUUGAUGUCGGCGGAUACUUUUGGUGCAUUGAGUACUACCCCGACGGGGAGAUGGAGAUGGAAAAUGGGGACUAUGCGUCUAUUGCCCUAGAUUUUGCGAGCACCAACUCUGAGGUGAGGGCGUACUUCGAGGUUAGGUUAGCCGAUCAAGCCAACAAGCUGCCGCCAUUGGUGUUGCUCUCCAAAAAUAUGCCGAUAGUGUUUCGCUCUCAUCCGCCAACCUAUGUAGGCAAAGACUUCCUGCAACCAUCGGUGUACCUGCGGGAUGACAACCUUGCGAUUGAAUGCUCUAUCACAGUUCUGGCAGAAUCCAAGGUGGCAGUAACGACAACUUCCAUUGACAUCCAAGUGCCUCCCUCAGACCUAUCUAAUAAUCUCGUAGAAUUACUUAAGGCGGGGGAGGAAACGGAUGUCACAUUCAAGGUUAGAGGGGAGAGUUUCCGUGCACACAAGAUUGUGCUUGCAAUGCGGUCACCGGUCUUCAAAGCGGUUCUCUUUGGGCCGAUGGGCGACAGGACAAGGCGAACCAUGAACAUAGAAGGUAUACAACCUGCUAUUUUCAGUGCAUUGCUUCACUUCAUCUACACAGAUUCGUUACCUUCCAUGGGACAUCUUUAUGGAGAUGAUGGUGAAGAAAUGGUCAAGCACUUGGUCAUGGCCGCAGAUAGGUAUGCCAUGGAGAGGAUGAAGGUGAUAUGUGAGAGCAUCCUUUGCAAGAAUCUUAAUGUUCAAAACGUCACUACUACUUUAGCUCUAGCCGACCGUUAUCACUGCAACCAACUCAAAAAUGCUUGCCUUGAGUUUAUCACUUCUCCAGAUAGAAUAGACAAUGUUGUGGCAAGUGAAGGGUAUGCUAAACUCAAAAGAUCCCGUCCUGCUAUCAUAGUUGAUAUUUUUGAGAGGGAAACUAAGUCCCGCAAAAUUUAG